UCACAUUGCAGUGAGUAAGUGAACACCGUCCAGAAAUUCACUCUUCUACAACAUUCACAAGCUCAUAUUCAAUCAGAGAGAGGUUGUUAUCUUCCUUCACGGUGAAAUUGGCAGGCUCUGCAACUUCAACACGGCCCCACUUGUCCACAGCAAGUCUCAUUGAUCCUUUAAACAUGUCAAUUUUUGCAUUGCGCAGAAUCACAGUAGUACCCUCUUUCAUCAGGUCCACUAAGCAACAACAAGCAAACAUUGAUUAGAACUGGAUUCAUAAUUUAAAACAACUACUAUAAGUUUGACAGUGUUUCUGAUGAAAGUAAGAUGCAAAUAACAAUGAUUCCACUGGUAGACCUAAAUAACCAUUGUUCAUGACCAAAAAACUUAGUAUAUAAGCCAUUUGGAUGAGUCCAGUUGCGGUUUUCUCAGUCGAGUCUAGACAGCCAACGCCUUUAAUGAUUUAGGGUAAGUUCAAAGCACUAGCUUCAAGCUCUGAAAUUCACAUAAACAAUCAUAACACCAUCAUAUGAUCCAUAAAACUGCUUAGCUAUGCAAAUUUUGAUACCAUUUUACUAUCCUGUCUAAUGAUAAAACUAGCAUACCAUUAUUCUUGUCCCGUCCCUGAAUUUAUGACCAUGAAUAUAGGCCGCACUAGAAACGCUUGUAAAGCAGCUUAUUGUCUUAUCUCAUGGCCAAUGGUUAUUUACAACAAAAUUUGAAGUGUUCAUUCUCAUACAUGAAUUACUAAUGGAACUUCCAAACAAGAGCUAACAUAUGGCAUCAUGUCUAGGAAAGAAUAAAGAAAAAGAAAUAAUCAACAUACUCAUGAGUUGGAACACACAGAUGAUGAAUGCUGCAAUAGCAAAACAACAUAAAUUCCAAAAUAAAUCCACAAAAAAUUAUAACAUGUCUGCAGCUCUGCACGAAUAUGUACCUUGAUCAUUUCUAGCAGUAAAGAUAAUCAUUCCUGUCUCAUCACCAACCAAGCAUUCAGCAAUUCGCAUCUGACGUACUUGUGUUCCAUCACCACGACCCUUCUGCAAUACCAUCUUCGUACUCACGACCUUCACUGUGAGAGUGUGCCCACUAGUACCCGGGCGUAGCUGAUCAACCUUGGUAAAAACUGGUUUCCUCAAUCCUGAUUU
rnacentral:lncRNA from 1 species